GCCUGGCGGGGCGGCCGCGCUCAGUGGGCUGCGGGACUGGGGGCGGGGCGGCGCCUUGUGGGGGCGGGGCCUGGCGGGGAGGCCGCGCUCAGUGGACGGUGGGGCGGGGCGGGACCUGGCGGGGGCGGGGCUUGAGCGGGCCCGGGGCGGAGCCAGCACUGGACUGGCCCCUUGGGGGGCUGCAGGGGGAACUUGGAAGGGGAAGGGAGACCGUGCCCUACGUCCCUCGCCGGCUGCCUGCUGUCUGCACAGGCACAUUAAUAGCUGGACGUGCCAUGUGUAGCCCCAGGGCUAGGGGCUGCAUUGAAUAAAUUCCUAGAGGGUCACUUGGCCGUUUCAGUCUGUAGAGCACGUGACUCUUGCUGUCAGGGUCAUGAGUUCAAGCACCACGUUGGGCAUAGAGCUUGAAAAAUAAUAAAAAUGAAAUAAAAUUAGUACAAAAAAAAGAAAAGACAAAUUCUUAGAGAAGGGCUGCUUUACAGGUGAUGCAUUUUAAAUCAUAUUGUUUCAUAACAAAUUGUCUGCCAAAGGAACCAAAACACAGGAAAUCGGAGGGAAAGGUUAGAUAAAUCAUUUCAUGGGGAUAAUACACAGCAGAUUCUCAGACACAGCGCUAAAUAUACGUCUACUUAGGUGUAAAGUGCUCCAAAGUUUAUAAUUAACAUGCAAAACAGUGAACUGGGCUAUUAGUUGUCAUUUUAGAAAAUCGCUGGAAGGGGUGGGUAUACCAGACCUCCACGUGUGGACAACCACAUAUACGUACGUACCUGUACGUACCACAUAGUGCUAGGUUACAUAUGCAUGUGUAAUAUAUAGCAUAGUGGCUAAGCCCUGGCUGACCACGAGCCAGUCUUUCCGUAUAUAUUCAUUCAUGUAUUCCUUACAACGAUUCCAUGAGGUACUUGCUGUUAUAGCACCAUUUUACAGAUGAGAGCAUUGAGGCCAGAGAAAUUAGGUGAUGUGCCCAAGCAGGGCAAAGAGCCAGAUUCUCACACCGGAAACUGUUAACAGUGGCUGCUUCGGGAAGGGUCAAAGUGAUGAGGGAGCAUAAGGCAAGCGGACAGCAAGCAGGACCUAGCAACACCCGCCCUGCCCCCCUCAGGUGGGACCUGUGUGACAAUCCUCUGGCACUCCUGGCUGUCCAAGGACAAAGGAAAGGACAGAAAACAAAUGGUUAAACUGAUAACCUCUCCAUCAGUUUGCAAACAUCUUAGUAAUAUCUGGAGAAAAGGGCCAUCUUAUCAAUAGCCUAACAUCCAGGAACUUAGUACUGUCUUGAUGCUAAUGCUUUGCUAGAAGGAAAACAGCCUUAGCUUGACAACAGCCAGGCCUCCAGUGAUCUGUGGGUCUCCUUCAGCCUACGAAAUCCCUUUAAGAAACUUCCCCUUGACUUUUCCUCUCUCAGCUCCAUAGGAUGUAACCAGUCACCCCUCACAACCCCAGCGCAGCUCUUCCUGCCCACGGGUCCUGUCCCUGAGCUUUAAUAAAAUCACCUUUUUACACCAAAGACGUCUUCAGCACAGAGCCUGAUACAGGACUCGAACUCACGAACCCUGAGAUCAAGACCUGAGCCGAAGUCGGACACUCAACCCACUGGGCCACCCAGGUGCCACUAGGGUGAAAUAUUCUUAUGCUCAACUACUGCUUUUGUAAAUGCAGAGUACCCACAACCCCCUCACUGCCCUCGGCCUGCAGUAAUGGCCCCGAGUGGUCGCACCAGCCUGUGGAUGCUUCCAACAAGCAGCCCCCCCCCCACUGCCUUCACAGAGCCACCCAGCAGCCAUACUUCCUGCUCCCCUGGAAGGAAUCCCACUUAGCAUCUCCUGGAAACCCUGGGCCUGCACCCAGGUCCUUCUUCAGGCUCCAGGACACACGGGUUCCUGACACUGGACUGCGGCCAGAGGCCACCAGAGCUGGGAGGGACAGGGGGUCUCCUGGCCAAGCCCCUUGUUUUUCAGUAUGAGGUCAGCCACGGCACGCCUGGGGUCACUUUCCAUUCCCUCCGUUGUCCAGGACCAACUGCGUUUGCCCAGGCCCCCCAGAGCUGCGGGAGCAGAAUUCCUUAUCUGCAAAUCUGUGCCCUCACUACCUUUUGCUGUGACCUCCAGAUCAGAACUCACAAGGUUUCCUGGGCGUACAUUCCCAGCUGAGGCUAUGCGGCCGCUCGAGGAUUUAAACCCGCACCCCUCUGGCUCCUGCACCGCAUCCGUCUCCAAAGCAAGGACUCGGUCCUGUCCAUCUCUGCCCUCCAGUGUUCUGCCCGAGACCCAG